UUUACUUUUUUGCAAAUCUCUUAUGUCUGGCUUAAUAGAAGGCAGCUGGAUUCUCGUAUCUGCUUCUGCAAUCAAUCUGUCACAAUAUGCUGGUCU